rnacentral:rRNA from 1 species
AUUGAACGCUGGCGGCAGGCUUAACACAUGCAAGUCGAGCGGAGCGAGGGUGCUUGCACCUUAGCUUAGCGGCGGACGGGUGAGUAAUGCUUAGGAAUCUGCCUAUUAGUGGGGGACAACAUUCCGAAAGGGAUGCUAAUACCGCAUACGCCCUACGGGGGAAAGCAGGGGAUCACUUGUGACCUUGCGCUAAUAGAUGAGCCUAAGUCGGAUUAGCUAGUUGGUGGGGUAAAGGCCUACCAAGGCGACGAUCUGUAGCGGGUCUGAGAGGAUGAUCCGCCACACUGGGACUGAGACACGGCCCAGACUCCUACGGGAGGCAGCAGUGGGGAAUAUUGGACAAUGGGGGGAACCCUGAUCCAGCCAUGCCGCGUGUGUGAAGAAGGCCUUUUGGUUGUAAAGCA